UGCCGCGUGUGUGAAGAAGGUCUUCGGAUUGUAAAGCACUUUAAGUUGGGAGGAAGGUCCUUAACUUAAUACUCU
rnacentral:rRNA from 1 species